GAUGAGCCGCGGAUGCGCCACGGCCCGGCCGUCCGGGCCAAGAGCCGCCCUCCUCCCCUCCCCGCACCGCCGGCCCUGCCAUGUUAUUCGCAGGAAUAGCGCACCCGCUCGCCGCGCGGCCGGGCAGGGAGGGAGGGUGUUCCCUCCCCCGCCUCGCCGUUCGCGCAGCGGGGUUGGCUUAUUUAUUUAUUAACUUACUACUCCAGUGCCGGGCGAUGCUGCCAUUUGCUUUCGUGCGAGCGGCGCCGCAUCAGUUUCCCUGUUUUGUUUUGUUUUUUUAUCUCUCCUUCCUUUUUUAAUUCCCCUCCCAAAAGAAAAAAAAAAAAAAAAACAACACACCAAAACAAGAGAACCAAAACCAAAAACCAUGGCCAGUCAGAAACUUUCAUAAGCAGGUUCAAAGCAAGGAAGUUGCACGCCAUGGAUUAAAAGGUUUCUGCGGUGCCCGUUGGCGUGAAAAUCAAAUAAACGUGACUUGGGGGCUCCUCGCUCCCUCCCUCCGUCCCUCGCCCCCAGGGGCGGUGCCGGGCCCGCCUGUGCGGCGGCUCGGGGACCACCGUCCCCCCAGCUGCCAGCUUGGGCACAAGGAGCUGCGGGGGGCUGCCCGAACGCGAGCGGCUGACCUGUGCGGGGUCGGUCCUUAUCUGCAAUACACUGGCUUAAGUUACAGGCAUGCCCCUGUGCGUCUCCGCCUUCUGAAAGUCUCCGAAGUCUCAGAAAUACUUAAAACCUGGCCUUUAUCUCGGAGCCACCAUUGCUAAAGCAGUGGGACAUAUUCUGGACGCCGCGGACUUUGCAUGCUUCAGGAAGUCACGAUGAACUCAUUAUUUUAUUGUGAAACUAAAUCCAUAAAGCAGUCAUGAUGAGUAACUCGGGGACUUGUCGUAAUUGGGCAGUAACGCACAGUUUUAUCAUCUGGAGGAUUCUAGUGGGCUCAAUGUGGUUGCCAAUUCUGUGUGAUUUAAUUGUGAACUUUACAACAUUUAGUGCCCUUCUUAAAGCUGUAGCUCCUGGACUCAUACAAUUAUGCAAGAAAUUCAGCCAGGUAUGAUACUGAACAGCAGGGCUGAUGGAGAACUAAAAAAAGAAAAACACAGAGAAUAUAUCAGAGUGCUUGUGAAAUAGUUACCAAUAGGUACACAGUUCAUGGAAUAACAGCUUUUGAACAGAUCAAGUAAUCCUGGGACAAGGUCUAUUACUGUCAGAUCUGCUUGUAGUUUACUGUGAUUUCUCCUGGGGCUGGGGCACCGUCCAGCCACCUCCCUCCUCACCCCUCCAGUCUUGAGUCCAUAACCAAUUCUUAAACACUCUGAAAAUCCCAGCCCCAAAACUCUGAUUUUCCCCCCUCCAUGUAAACUUUUACUACCAGCCCUUCAAGCUAUAGAGGCUGUGUGUUACAGCCAAGACAGCCUGGAUUUUGAUUUUACCUUCAGUUAGAGUUUGAAGCAAGAAGGGGAGUCGGCUUACUCUGAAAACUAUAAGACCAGAGUUGCUUUUUUCCUUCAGAUUUUUUUGAUAGACACACCAGAGAAAUAAAUAACUGAGUAAAGCCAA